CCAAGCAGAACGCACUUAUAGUUUGUCUUCCCGAAACUAAGCGAGCUACUCCAAAGCAGCUUCACAGAGCCAACCCGUCCCUGUAGCAAAAGGGUGGAAAGACUUUAGAGUAGAGGCGACACACCUACCGAGCUUAGAGAUAGCUGGUUAUUCAGAAAAAGGAUUUUAGUCCUCCUUUAAGUUUUCUUAGUUCUGUAAAACACUUAACAAACUUAAAAGUUAUUCAAAUAAGGGACAGCCUAUUUGAAAAAGGGCACAGCCUACAACUCAGGGUAAUGGACCCCCCCCGUGACCAAGUCAGCCUUAAAGCAGCUAUCUUUUAAAAAGCGUCCGAGCUUCAUCACAAAAUCUUAUUAAUUCCCCAAUUAAAUCACAACCCCCAACCACUACUGAAUAAUCUCAUACUGUAUGAGAAACAUAUUGCUAGAACUAGUAACAAGAAGAAGAGCUUCUCCAAAAUGUAAAUGUAAGCCAAAAUGAACACUCACCGGCACUUACCGUUGCAAACCCACAGUAUUAACACUGCAAGAAAAUUUUACUCCAACUAACGUUAACCUUACACUAGAACAUUUCUGGAAAGAUUAAAAAAGGGGGAAGGAACUCGGC
rnacentral:rRNA from 1 species